rfam:Felis catus isolate Cinnamon breed Abyssinian chromosome F1, whole genome shotgun sequence.
UUGCGGCGGGGCUGAUUGCGCUGCCGGUCUUGGACCCCGGGAGAGCUGCCCGUAGCCCACCUUCCCGCCAGCCUCGCUGCGAGGGCUUCCCGGCUUUGGCGUUCUCGCCCGCUGUCGGGCUCCGGCCCCAGGUAAUGCAGAU